UACGUAGGGUGCAAGCGUUGUCCGGAAUUAUUGGGCGUAAAGAGCUCGUAGGCGGCUUGUUGCGUCGACUGUGAAAACCCGCGGCUUAACCGCGGGCCUGCAGUUGAUACGGGCAGGCUAGAGUUCGGUAGGGGAGACUGGAAUUCCUGGUGUAGCGGUGAAAUGCGCAGAUAUCAGGAGGAACACCGGUGGCGAAGGCGGCGUUCUGGACUGCAACUGACACUGAAAAACGAAAGCCAGGGGAGCAAACGGG
rnacentral:rRNA from 1 species